GAUGAACGCUGGCGGCGUGCCUAAUACAUGCAAGUCGAGCGAACGGACGAGAAGCUUGCUUUUCUGAUGUUAGCGGCGGACGGGUGAGUAACACGUGGAUAACCUACCUAUAAGACUGGGAUAACUUCGGGAAACCGGAGCUAAUACCGGAUAAUAUUUUGAACCGCAUGGUUCAAAAGUGAAAGACGGUCUUGCUGUCACUUAUAGAUGGAUCCGCGCUGCAUUAGCUAGUUGGUAAGGUAACGGCUUACCAAGGCAACGAUGCAUAGCCGACCUGAGAGGUUGAUCGGCAACACUGGAACUGAGAAACGGUCCAAACUCCUACGGGAGGCAGCAGUAGGGAAUCUUCCGCAAUGGGCGAAAGCCUGACGGAGCAACGCCGCGUGAGUGAUGAAGGUCUUCGGAUCGUAAAACUCUGUUAUUAGGGAAGAACAUAUGUGUAAGUAACUGUGCACAUCUUGACGGUACCUAUCAGAAAGCCACGGCUAACUACGUG
rnacentral:rRNA from 1 species